GAAAGUAAAAGUCGUAACAAGGUCUCCGUUGGUGAACCAGCGGAGGGAUCAUUACCGAGUUUACAACUCCCAAACCCAAUGUGAACCAUACCAAACUGUUGCCUCGGCGGGGUCACGCCCCGGGUGCGUCGCAGCCCCGGAACCAGGCGCCCGCCGGAGGGACCAACCAAACUCUUUCUGUAGUCCCCUCGCGGACGUUAUUUUUACAGCUCUGAGCAAAAAUUCAAAAUGAAUCAAAACUUUCAACAACGGAUCUCUUGGUUCUG
rnacentral:misc_RNA from 1 species